UCCCUGGUGAUCUAGUGGUUAGGAUUUGGCACUCUCACUGCCACGCCCUGGGUUUGAUUCCCAGUCAGGGAA